AAAGGCUCUCUCUCCCUAUCUUUAAAAAAAAAAACUCCACAAAUUGCUGCUAGUACCAAGUGUCCCUUCUUAUCAAGACUGGACGGGUAUUCAAUUUUCUCUUCAAACGCCUGCCUUCUGAAAUGACUGGUAGAAGACUGGAAAUCCUAUUAAAAAGUUGUAUUGACUCCAAGAUGGCUGCCAUUGUGAUAGGACACAACCAGUGGAAGCAAGUGGCUCCCAUGUCAGUGAAGCAGUGAAUCAGCUCUGGGUUUUGGUCCAACUUUUCCAAGGAAAGUCAUUUAACUCUUGGACAAGCCAUUUAACUUCUGAAACACUGCCCCAGGAUCCAUUUCUUGCUAUAAAUACAUAUGCCUGAACAAUACUACAGGAAACUACUGGAAAAGAGAUUCCAUCUCAACAUUAAGAAGAACUUCCUGACAGUAAGAGCUG